rnacentral:rRNA from 1 species
UACACUCCUGCGGGAGGCAGCAGUGGGGAAUUUUACGCAAUGGGGGAAACCCUGACGUAGCGACACCGCGUGAGCGAAGAAGCCCUUUGGGGUGUAAAGCUCUGUCAGCUGGAACGAAAACAAUGACGGUACCAGCAGAGGAAGCAUCGGCUAACUACGUGCCAGCAGCCGCGGUAAGACGUAGGAUGCGAGCGUUGUCCGGAUUUAUUGGGCGUAAAGAGUUCGUAGGUGGUUUGUUAAGUUUGGUGUUAAAGAUCGGGGCUCAACCCUGGGACUGCACUGAAUACUGGCAGACUCGAGUGUGGUAGAGGCUAGUGGAAUUCCCAGUGUAGCGGUGAAAUGCGUAGAUAUUGGGAAGAACACCGGUGGCGUAGGCGACUAGCUGGGCCAUAACUGACGCUGAGGAACGAAAGCCAGGGGAGCGAAUGGGAUUAGAAACCCUAGUAGUCCCAUGAU